rnacentral:rRNA from 1 species
GAUGAACGCUGGCGGCGUGCCUAAUACAUGCAAGUCGAGCGAACAGAUGAGGAGCUUGCUCCUCUGACGUUAGCGGCGGACGGGUGAGUAACACGUGGAUAACCUACCUAUAAGACUGGGAUAACUUCGGGAAACCGGAGCUAAUACCGGAUAAUAUAUUGAACCGCAUGGUUCAAUAGUGAAAGACGGUUUUGCUGUCACUUAUAGAUGGAUCCGCGCCGCAUUAGCUAGUUGGUAAGGUAACGGCUUACCAAGGCAACGAUGCGUUGCCGACCUGAGAGGGUGAUCGGCCACACUGGAACUGAGAAACGGUCCAGACUCCUACGGGAGGCAGCAAUAGGGAAUCUUCCGCAAUGGGCGAAAGCCUGACGGAGCAACGCCGCGUGAGUGAUGAAGGUCUUCGGAUCGUAAAACUCUGUUAUUAGGGAAGAACAAAUGUGUAAGUAACUAUGCACGUCUUGACGGUACCUAAUCAGAAAGCCACGGCUAACUACGUG